AAAAAACCUGUGAUCAACCAAUAAGAUUACAAGUAUAGCUGCUUAGGUGAUACUGAUCCAGUGGAAAGCAGGUCACAUAACAAGUGUACAUGGAAAAAAACAAGGACCUUCCUUGGAAGAGAUGAAUCAAGAGAUCCUGGUCUCCCAGCUGGGUGACUGAUAUCUAUCCAGACUUUGUUGGGUUAGGUAAUACUAAUUACAGCAUACUGCUUAUUCUUCAGGGAGGCAUGUAGGCCUGGUCAUUCCUUCUUUAUCUUGAGCCCUGCUCUUCAAUAGAUUUGCCUCCAGCCAGAGUUAUAAUGCAUUUUCAUCCUCUGCACUGGCUCCUUCAAGGGCCUAGUGUUGUUUACUGACUGUAAUAUUUCUACCUAACGUAGCUGUCUUUAAUAGUCCCAUUUCUCUGUAUCCUAUUCAUUACAAAAUCUUGUUUUAUCAACUAGUCAUUGUCUUUAUUCUAGCUCCCACAAUUUUCUGAGUAUGUCCAAGGUGCUAUCAUUUUUCAUCCUAACGGAUUCACACACUUGUUGUAAUAGCACUUUUGCUAUCGUAGUAGUGGUGAUUUGGAAGGGAGAGAAAAAAAGACCCAAAUCUAUAUAUAAGUGGAGAAAGGGAGAAAAAGAGGCAGCAGAGGAGAGAUGAUUAGAAUCUUUACUUCUAUAUCAUUAAAGCAGUUUUUAAAACUCAGCAGCACAAUCUUUCACAGUUUCCUUUCUAUUUUUCUGAUGCUUCCUGAAAUAUUAGCAAAGAUUGUGCUUGUAGAUCAGGAUCUACAUUCCUGCUAGCUAUGAAAUAGUAGGCACGUUACGGGACCUCUUGCACUUCAGUUUGCUCAUUUUACUUAAAAGAGAAAAUUUAUGUAAAUGUUGGUAUCAACCAGCAGCUAAUUAAGAAAACAAAUCUAAUCGUCUUACCAGAAUUUAAUGUAAGAAAUCUGUUUAAAAGUUGUUAAGUGAGCUGAGAAAAUAAAAAGGAAACAGAAAUAACAUAGAAACAGUCACUGCAGGAAAGCGCUACCACCCCCAGAGCCACGGAAUAGAAAAGUCUGAGUUAUUAGAACCCAGAGUCUGGAGUAAAUGCUUCAUCAGUGAACUCAGAUCUGUGGUGGGGGGAGGUUCCCAGGGGCAUAUUCUGGGAGUGCAGAAAAAAAAAUAGAACUGGAAAAACAAUGUCUGUUCCUGAAACCACACUUCCAGAAAGAACAAAAACAUGUACAGAGUCAAAUUUCUUCUUCUUUCCCAUCCCCUUUGCCUGUUCUUGUUUCCCGGUGUCACAAAGCAGAGGAAAGAGGGCUGUGUUUGAAGUUGACACUGCUUAAAUAAGUGGAAGGAACGUGCUGCACAGUGCGAAGAAUGCAUUAGACUAUGCGGUAAUGAAAGAAGCUGAAAUAGAGAGGAGGAUAAGGAAUCAUAGCAGCAGAGCACCUUCAGGAACCAAGGAAGAAGAGAUGUCAGAGGCAAAGAAUUUGAAUGAACACUAGAGAAAGAAAAAGUAUAUGAAGGUGUAUUUACACUUGAAAAUCUAAGAUCUUUUCGUAAGAAGUCAAGCUGAUAGCAGUUGGCCCUGUAUCCAUGAAAGGCAGUCUGCAGAAGAUAUCCCCAAAGCACAAAGCUGGGCUCUAUUUGACAUGGAUUUGAGACCUCAGUCAUGAAACAAAUUGCUGGAGAUGACGUAGUGGGUUCCUGCAGGACCCUUGUGGGGAACAGUGCUUUCUUGUUGCUGGAACCUCGGGAAGCCAUAUUGAUACACUUUGUA